rfam:Solanum lycopersicum cultivar Heinz 1706 chromosome 10, whole genome shotgun sequence.
UGGCUAUGAUUAGAAGAUUUAUCCGCGCUUCUGAGAGUGAUCUAUGAAGCAUAUGAUAAAAAAAAUGGUUGAAUUUCUUAAUAUGAGCCU